CUGGCUUGUUCUCAGCAGCUUCAUGCAUCAUUGAGUUAAAUCCAACUUUGGAACAUACUGGUGAGAUAUCGAGAGUGUGGGAUGGUUUUGUGAGGAGACAAGAAAUUACAAAUUGCAAAACAAAAUGGCACAAAAACUAGUACCGGGUCCCACUUCAGGUCCCCUCCCAGAAUCCUCCUCUCCGCUCUCUGUCUGCCUCUUUCCUGAGCAGAUCCUGAUCUGUCCACCCCGUCCUCCCCAGCUUGGGUUCUCAGCAAAUCCAAGCUCCUAGUGCUCCUUGCUUCUGAAAAGGCUCGGCGAUCACACAUCACAGACGUGUCUUUCCCUCGGUCAGUCACACAUGUAGGAUGUGAAUGUCAUGUGUACCCUGGGCUGAGAGUCUGAGCAGUUGACGGUCCUGUGAUCCCAACUCUCUGCUGAGCCACAUGCGUUCUCUCUUCCCAGGAGUCCCGAGCCUUUCUGGAAAUGGAGCUUGUGCCCACAAUUCACCACCCCUUAGCCACAGUCCGAAAGCCCAGGAAGCUCUAAGACGAGAAAGCAGCAAACUCGUUUGGCAGCAAACCCUUGGCCUGAACCGAGGCUCUGUCUGGUCUCUGUUGGCCUGUGUGCUUGGUCGCAGGCGCUGCUGUGGACUUCAUCGGGCCUGCUAUGCAGCGUCAGCCAUCCACCGAAAGGAGCUCCUGGGAGAGAGUGUCUACCGUGUCUGCAGGACAUUUCAUUUCCAACCGCCCUGUUGUGACCCACAGAGUACCAGCCAGGCCGAGGAAAGGAAGACUGAAGACUUGUCAGACUGACGGCGAGCUGUCUUGGAAAAGACUACGGAUAAAAAAUCUUGAAUUGCUCACUAACCAAAUGAUUUCACAUUCUUGCAGCGAAUUCAAGUAUAGUUUCUAACAGCAUUUUUAUAGCCUUCUUCUCUAUCCAUCUUUACAAAUAGUUUCUGAACCUCCCUAAGAUACCUGCUUAAAUCUAAAUUAAAAAAAAGCAAAGGGGGGGGGGGGAAAGCAAGAAACCGAAAUAUAAGAAAGUGUAGGGAGGGAAGACAUUUGGAGACUUCAACAUUUUGGCUUUAUGUGAAGUCAUAAGUAAUUUUGAAAUUAGGAUGUAAUGGAAAACAGACCUUAGCACCCUCACCUGGUUAAACCCGGAAGAGGAAAUUGUGCUUGAGAGACAGGUUGGCACUUUCAGGGACAGUAGCUGAUUUCGGAGAGGAAACACGAGUGACUGAACUACGGGAACGGAUCUGGGACUGGAGGAAAGAGCACAGGAGAGGGACGGAUGGAGGAGGGGUGGGCACAGGGCACCUUCUCCUGGACCAGUGGCUGGGAUGCCCGGUUUCCAAGGAACAGCAAAGCGAUGACCCGGCAUUACCCAGAUGUGCUCAUUGCCAGGGGACACCCGAGACACAAACAACUGCAGCUACACGAAGCGGACACAGGUGAAGAGGGCUCUGUCAGUGGGAACGCCGCUGGGGUGGGCGGGAGUGAGAGUCUGAGGGUCUCAGCGCCCUGGGGUGAAUCCGCGCUUUUCUCCAGAUGGGGGUCAACUGGAGCAAAUGGCCACCUUCGGCUCAAAGUGCUUCUCCAGCGAAUGGACCCCCCAUGGUUUUAUGGAAAAGAGACCCCAAUACACCAACCAGACACCACAAUACCAAUCGAGAGUGAUUCUUAUUCCUUAUGGGUGCUGUUGCGUUAAAAUAGGCUUAUUUAUUUUCAUCGCACUUGGUUUGCUAACAAAGUGGCUGAGGGAAGGGGGUCUGGAUACGGAGUGUGGAGCCUGGAAAUCGUGGGGCCAUCUUUAUGGAACUGUCUUAAUGGAAAAACACCAUUCAGUACUUGCUGCUUAGAAAAUUCAGUCUUAAUGAGCUGCUUUCCGUUCCAAAUUUUAACAGUUGACACAAAAUACACCGUUAAACUGUUAUCAAUAAUUGUAGAAAAAUAGACAUGUUUGCGCGGGACAUUCUAGUAAAGGGUCUCCUGGAACAUCCUCAUUGAGAGACUCAGAGGCUCACGUUACAAAAACGAGAUUUGGUUCAUGUUCUGUCUCCAACUACAUGGACACCAAAGACAGUGGGGAUAGGGAGGGCCUCACCCCGGGGGCCCUGUCACCGCUACAGAACCGACCGCCAUGUGCGUGACCGAGGGCUGUCAGGCUCUUUGUUCAGUUGUGCUAACGGGCCCCGAGCUGCUGUUCCCACCAGACAACAGGGCGUGUGUGGUCCUGUAAGCCUUAGUAACUGUUUUAAAAAGGCCCAGUGAGUCUUCAAGAGCUAAAUUAGCAGUCUUUUUGCAACCCCUGCUCGAUUUCGCUUUGUGCUACCAGGCCACGCCCUGCAGCUCUGGGGGUGCUGCAGGGUGAGCGCCCACGAGUCAAGAGCGCCCUGUAUAAGGCUACGUACGUACAUACGUACGUGGAGGAAAGGCCACAAUUCCUCCCACAGCCUGGCAGGAAGCGUGUGGGGCUCCCUCCUCCUCUUUGCCUGCAACCUCCUCCUCAGAGUGUGGAAAGAAUAAACGAUUCAACAGAUAUUCAACGCAGAGUGAGAUGUUGGCAAACAGGAAGGGGCUAUGGCCAACAGGUUUGUUCUCCAGGAAGUCAGUGCCAAGAAGCAGUUGUCCUGAUGCAAAGCCUUGGAAAUGGGAGAAGAGAGGCCCCGUGACAGACGGAGGAGCCGCUUUCCUUAUCUCCCACACACGCUUGUUAGUAGACAAGGUCCCUCCACUAUGGCGAAGGCUGGGUGAUCUGGUGCGGGAGAGCAAGGUCAACAGGGAGGGACGGCUAGUUUGAGUUCUUGGACUUCCACGGUGCAGAGCCUCAAACUGAGCACAGCUGUGGGAGCUGACAAUGAACUUGCAUCCAGUCAGUGGAUAUUGAUGAUGGGCGGACUGCGUUAGGGGACAAACAGUUUAAAAGAGUAAAAUUAAUGUGAAAGAUCUUCACAGUGCAAGAUUUCCACCUGCCCUUGACGUUUUCAUGUAAGAUUCUCUUUUUUUUACUUGAAAAAAAAAUUUUAUAUUGAAAUUUAGCUUUUCAGUACAAAAUACCACCCUCCCUUUUAGCUCUCCCUCCAUUCUUUCCUUCCUUCUCUCCUCUUUUUCUUCCUCUCUAUGUCUACAUUUAUCUUUGCAGAUUGAAAUGAAUUAAGGCUGUAGUUUUUUGUUUUCUUUUGCUUGGGAGACACUUUGGAUUUGAUUUCUAACCUGUGGCAUACUUUUGAGAGAUUUCGUAGUCACCAAGAUUGUUGGUGUAAUCUUUGACUGUUGAACUCUGGUCAUUUCAUAAUAAUAAAAGAAUAGAAUAAAUAACAA